rnacentral:rRNA from 1 species
GAUGAACGCUGGCGGCGUGCCUAAUACAUGCAAGUCGAGCGAACGGACGAGAAGCUUGCUUCUCUGAUGUUAGCGGCGGACGGGUGAGUAACACGUGGAUAACCUACCUAUAAGACUGGGAUAACUUCGGGAAACCGGAGCUAAUACCGGAUAAUAUUUUGAACCGCAUGGUUCAAAAGUAAAAGACGGUCUUGCUGUCACUUAUAGAUGGAUCCGAGCUGCAUUAGCUAGUUGGUAAGGUAACGGCUUACCAAGGCAACGAUGCAUAGCCGAACUGAGAGGGUGAUCGGCCACACUGGAACUGAGACACGGUCCAGACUCCUACGGGAGGCAGCAGUAGGGAAUCUUCCGCAAUGGGCGAAAGCCUGACGGAGCAACGCCGCGUGAGUGAUGAAGGUCUUCGGAUCGUAAAACUCUGUUAUUAGGGAAGAACAUAUGUGUAAGUAACUGUGCACAUCGUGACGGUACCUAAUCAGAAAGCCACGGCUAACUACGUG